rnacentral:rRNA from 1 species
AAUCAACGCUGGCGGCGUGCCUCAGACAUGCAAGUCGAACGCUGCUGUUCGCCUUCGGGUGGACAGCGGAGUGGCGCACGGGUGAGUAACACGUAGGUAAUCUACCUUUGGGUGGGGAAUAACAGCCGGAAACGGCUGCUAAUACCGCAUAAUGCAGCGGCAUCACAUGAUGACAGUUGUUAAAGCGAGGGAUCGUAAGACCUCGCGCCUGAAGAGGAGCCUGCGGCAGAUUAGGUAGUUGGUGAGGUAAUGGCUCACCAAGCCUGCGAUCUGUAACCGGCCUGAGAGGGCGGUCGGUCACACUGACACUGACA